AUUGAACGCUAGCGGCAUGCCUUACACAUGCAAGUCGAACGGCAGCGCGGGGCAACCUGGCGGCGAGUGGCGAACGGGUGAGUAACAUAUCGGAACAUACCCUAGAGUGGGGGAUAACGUAGCGAAAGUUACGCUAAUACCGCAUACGCACUAAGGUGGAAAGUGGGGGAUCUUCGGACCUCAUGCUCAUGGAGUGGCCGAUAUCUGAUUAGCUAGUUGGUGAGGUAAAGGCUCACCAAGGCGACGAUCAGUAGCUGGUUUGAGAGAACGACCAGCCACACUGGAACUGAGACACGGUCCAGACUCCUACGGGAGGCAGCAGUGGGGGAAUUUUGGACAAUGGGGGCAACCCUGAUCCAGCAAUGCCGCGUGAGUGAAGAAGGCCU
rnacentral:rRNA from 1 species